GAUGAAGAACGUAGCGAAAUGCGAUACGUAAUGUGAAUUGCAGAAUUCAGUGAAUCAUCGAAUCUUUGAACGCAUAUUGCGCUCUUUGGUAUUCCGAAGAGCAUGCUUGUUUGAGUAUCAGUAAACACCUCAAAGCUUUUGGAUUUUUUAAUCGAAAAGCUUUGGACUUGAGCAAUCCCAACACCAAUCUUUUUGAGAUCGGUGGCGGGUUGCUUGAAAUGCAGGUGCAGCUGGACAUUCUCCUGAGCUAAAAGCAUAUUCAUUUAGUCCCGUCAAACGGAUUAUUACUUUUGCUGAAGCUAACAUAAAGGGAGUUUGACCGUAUUGGCUGACUGAUGCAGGAUUUCACAAGGGUCGGCAACGAUUCUUGUUAAACUCGAUCUCAAAUCAAGUAAGACUACCCGCUGAACUUAAGCAUAUCAAUAAGCGGAGGA
rnacentral:misc_RNA from 1 species